AUGCAGUGACACUCACUGGCCCAUGAACAGCAGAGAUCUCCUGGAGGGAGGAUUGGUUGUGGAAGAGGUAAAGAAAAACUGCCCAAUUAGAGAAGAUAACUGCCCCACCUCUAACAGAUGGGAAAUAGAAUCCACACCCCUAUUUCCAACUUGAGACAGCUGGUAGCGUUCAAAAAACUUGUAGCAAUGGCACCUGAGGACAUUGUUUAGUGCUGAACAAGGUGGGUUUUCUGCAUUGAUGGUUGUUCUUGAUAAUCAUACAGGUCUUUUUCAACCUCAAGGAUUCUAUGAUUCUCUGAAUACAAAAGGAAUAAAAGUUGCAUUGUCCUGGUUCAUGUGUCGAACAGCCUUUAUUUUCUGUAAUAAAAGGUAGUAAUUUUUCUAAGGGCUGUUUAUUUACCCCAAAUUUGAACCAAACCUGCACACAGCAAUAUCAUCUGGCUGGAAUCUGCAGACAAGAGACUUAAGAUGAAUUCCCCUCACCUAACUCCAGAUAUCUGCAGCAGGGCAUCUGCUUCAGAGAUGGUUCUUGAGGCUCUUAAAAUAGUCAGUAAAAAGCUGGGCAACAGAAUUUAUAUUGAACUGAAUGCAGGUGCCUAUUUAAGGAGAUGAAUCACACCCUGAAGUCAUUGACUACACAAAUGAGCUCUCUAUUACCUUUGACAGGAACCCAGAGUGAUUUUCUCAGAUGUGCACUAUAGAUACGAACUCCUGAAGAUCCUAAUUUAGUAUAUUUUACAGUCACACUGAUUUCUCAUUAAAGCCCUUUCUUCCAGUCUAAGCUGUUACAAAACCCAUCCAGGCUUCAGAUAGAAGCUCGCAGCUCCCCCAUGCACAGGAUAUGAAUGAGUAAUUAUUAUUUCAUAGACAGAGGAAAUUUGGUGUGUAAAAUAUAUGUUGGAAGAGUCAAUGCGGUUGCAUCCAUUUAUGCCUGCACCAAGUAAAAUAACUCCAUGUCCAAUAUUAUUAUUCAGCAAAUGUAUCCUGUAGCCAGUGCAGACAUCAAGAUUACCUUGUAAAGCAGCUGUGUUAAAAAAGAACUUUUUUGACCAGUCAUUAAGUCAAUACUAACUCAAUAGGGGCACGACAGUGUAAAAUUUAUAGGGAGAGGGAAGUUACAAGAAUAAACUUCUUUCAUGUUUUGUAAACUCAAGGUCCUUUUUUUAUUGUGAAAAGGGAGUAUAAACAGACUGAUAAGGGAGUGAAUAAAAGGGAUCUGAUUUUAUGCUUUCCUGCAGUCUAUCAAGUCGAGCGAGGAGGCUGGGGAUGGACAAAAACCUGGGAGUGGAGACAGCUGGGACGUUUGAUCCAAAGUGAAAUUCCAUACCUUAUGGCAUCAGGCUGAACAAAGAAACUCAGAGGAGUUCACCAAUGAGUGGCAAUUUCUGCUCAGGAACUGGUUGGGCCUCAGUCAGAAGAUGGAAAGAAAUUGUGCAUCACUUCUUUGUACAUUCUUUUAUUCUCAUUAUAAUUUCCCCUUCUUUUUCUGCCCUAUUAAACUGCUUUAACUCAACCUACAAGUUCUAGCUUCUUUUUUUUUUUAAUCUUUUUUUUUUCUUUUUUUUUCCACUGAGGAGUUUUGAGUGAACAACUCUAUGGAGUUUAGCUGCCUGCCAGGUUGACCAGGAGUGUCUUGUAUUCAACAGUACCAGCUUCCCAGAGAAAGAGAGUAAAACAAGUGCUGUAACAGUGGAGCCAAAGUUAAGAGGAUGCACUUUGAUGAGCAUAAACCUCCAGUUCAGCACAGAGCACAGAUUUUCAGACAGUCAAGAACAGGCAUAAAUCAAGAAACAGAAGACAUAAUUAUUCCCUGAAAUAAACAAAUAAACAAGAUCAGUGCAAGACCUCUGCCAAAUUAGAAGUGGAAAUACAGACAGAGCUGGAACGAGGUAAAUAUCUCUAUAGAGUAAUACAAACCCAAUCUCUGUACUUUCUGCAUUUUAGCUACAAUAUGAAACCAGGACUUAGUUACAUUAAAAGAGUUUGCCAUAUAUUUUAUACCAUGCAUUAAAAAAAGUUUUCACUGGAGGUUUUAAACAGCAUAUUAAGAAGUACUGAAAUCACUCAUAUCAAUUGGCUGCGGUAUAAUUGAGCUCUAUAAAGAUUAUUGAAAUGCAUUUGCAACUAUAAGAAGUCGUAUAAAUAAUAAGUUGUAAUAAAUCUUCUUUUCACUUCCCACUCUAGAAGAAACAAACUUUUUGGCAUUUUCUUCUGCAUUUUUGCCAGCCAAAAUCAUCAGGGCAAAGAGAAAAAAUGUCUUAUUUUCUUUAUUUCAUUUCUUUGCAAAAGGAAUUAACAACAUUUUUUUUUGUGCUUUCAAAAUUCUCCAUUUCUUUCUUGUUCCUUAAUAGAAUUUGUUCCUUUGCAUUUUCUUUUGAGGGAAAUGUCCACAGAGUAUGUUCACUAUACAAUGAAGUUUUUUUAGGUUUUUUUGAGUGAUUUUGGAGAGAUUUCUUUGGUUUGUUUGCUUAUUUUUCUGGUGGUGGCUUUGAUGCUCUUUGAUGUUCUUUUUCAGGACAUGAUACAGAGUCAGACCUGAAGGAAACUUGAUGUAUCAAGGUAUUCACCAGCAGAUAUUUUCAUUUUGAGGUUGACAAGGCUGUGAAAGGUGUGACCAUGGGCUUGGCAGGAGACUCCUGACUCCCCAGGGGACAGACUCAUCCUCUCCCCUCACUCAUGGCAAGGGCACCCAGUAACCUGAUGUAUUGUGGUGCCAAAAUAUUUCCAUAAAUGACCCAAGUAUCACCUGUAAAUUACCAUUACACCAGACAAACAAACACAGACACAAUAGCAGAGGUUCUUACACCCACAAAUAAAAUGUCACAGUGGCCAUGAGAAUUCAAUAACCACCUAAUGUGCUGCUGCAGUCCAGUGUAUUUCAUUUACCAGGUAAUAUAUUACCCAAUUUAUAACCAAUCUGUCAUGCACAUGGAUCAAUACAAAUCAUGAAAACACACAUACAUUACACACUUCCCAUAAUUGAAUUUUGUGCACUCUGGACUCUCAUUACCCUCCCACAAACUGCUUCAAAUGAAUACUUCUUAUUACCUUCAAGGUAAGCACAUCAGGGACACCAGGCAGGUGCUGCACAACUUUUACAUCUAUAACCCAGCAUCAACUUUCAGGAAGACCAUGCAGUGUGGAAAAUCUAACUCCAGUUUCCAAACUAUAAGGGAUUUCUCCUUGUAUCCUGAAAUGUCAUAGAGGAAAUGAACAAGCAGGUAAUUUAAACUGAAAUAGUCUCAAGUCUUUAUGGUCUAGAAAAACAUAAGGACUUGCAUGGUUGCACUUGGUGCCACUUGGAGCCACACCUGACUGUGUCACAUCCAUGGGAAUGUGAUCAGCAUCAUGUGGAUGUAUGUUAUUCCAUCAGGCUGUCCAUUAGAUCUUGGCUGGGAAGGAAUUAGGUGUUCCUGUCUUUGUCACAGGCUGGGACCAUGUCCUUCAAAAAUCUGCCAUUUUGGCCAGAUGAAAAGAGCUCAGAGAAAUUCCUUAGUAAAAAGUUUGAUAUUUUUUAAUUGAGAUUUUAGGCAUGCAUAUGGAUUAUUGAGAGUAAAAACUAUUCAGUUCUCUUUAACACUAAUUCAGAUUUGAAUUUACUUCCUUAAUUCUGACUGCAUUUUCAUUGGACUUGUAACCAUCUAAAAUGUGAUGUCUCUUAAGCUGCCAGUUAAAGGUGAGAGUAGAUUUUGGAGUACACUUUUUUCCUCACUUCUUUCAUAUACAGAGAACAGGCUUAGAUAACUGAAGGAAACUCCCACCCAUUUUGAGGAUCUCUUGUGCACUCAGACAUUCCAGCUAAGAAGGACAUCUCAUAUCAAAAGUGUUGUGUAUGUGCUGGCAAUUGAGAAUGAAGUUGUUAUCUUCUCUUUAGUUCUGGAAGAACUUAACUACUCUAUAUACAUGACAGGCAUUUCCAGGUAUCUGAGAUAUUCAUGCUUUUUGUCAAGUUUUGUUGAAGCUUUUCUCUUGAUUACAGGUUUUUUGUAGUCAGUUCAGCUGUAUUUAUUUAUUUAUUGCCUUAAAAAUGCAAACUAUGCUUAAAAAUCAGAGAUACCAAUGAUUCUUCUGACAGGUUUACAUGCAACAUCUUUCAAAAAAAUGAUUACACAGCAUUUGUGUGUAUGUGGUUAGAAGCUGGUGCACAACACUGGAUUGACAAGAGUGGAAAUUGAUUUUUUUCUAUCUGAAACCCAAUAAAGAGCAAGUAGCAACAGCUGAGGCCUGUAUGCUGCCCAUAUGGUGGUGUCAGGGUUGUUGCAUGACAUUUUUGAGCUCUGCACUAUUUUGUCCCCAGUUCUUGCACUUCUUUUGUGCCAUUUUUAAGUUCAUCUCUUGGUUUUUCAGGUUCUCCUACUCCAUAGCAGGACACAGAAAAAAGAUCAAACCUAUCCACCCUAAUUUAAUGUAUUCCUUUUAAUUUUUCCUUAUGAGUGCUCUGCUGGAGAACAUGAAAAACAAAAUCUUACCUCUUUCUUGUUACUGUAAUUGUCCCAGUCUGUCAUUGUGAUGGUCAUUUGUCAGUCCCAUUCUGGCUCCCUUUUCUCUGUAUUCUGGGAGAAUUAAGGGCAACAGCUUCUUAUCUGCUGCUUUCAAGGGCUCCCAAAGACUAUUCCAAAUGUCUUUUUUUUUUUUUUUUUUGUAUCCUAGAAUGCAGUUUCAGUCUCUCUGAACAGUCUGGCAGAAGAUAACUCAUCCACUUGGCAGAGUUCAACAUCACUGGGGAGGGAUUCAUAAGAGCUUGUCUAAAGCAGCUUCCUUAUUUACGUUUAAAUCUUAUUUUUGUUUAAUCUGCCAUGGCGACCAUUCAGGAAGAAAACAAAAUUCAGGAAUUAUCCCUAACUGCAUUUUCUUAAUGGUCCAGUAAUGCUAAGAGCAAUAAGACAUUAAUGUAAAGAGAUGAAAACUCUAUUUGCUGUAGUUAUUUUAGUCAUUCACACAUUUGCUGUAGAAUUCUUUACUGGUAAUAAUCUAAGGUAUUUUAGAAGAUUUAACAACACUUAGAGGAAAAUUUCUUAGCUGUCUCCUGCAGUCACUUAAAAACUAAAUAUAUCUAAAAGGGCCUUCAGUUCAGGAGGCACAAUGCUGGAAUAAAAUAGAAAAGCUAACUCAUCUUCUUCUACCAAACAGGUUGGGAAAUCUGGGGAACCACUCUUCUAAAUUAAUUAUUCUGAAAAUCAAGCCAAAUCCAAUCUUUGAUAUAAAGACUUUUCUAUUGGCAUCAAGAAUUAUGAGGUUCUUCUUUGUACGUUCUCAGAACAUGUGUGCCCGUUUGCUGCCCCAUUCAUUUGUGACUGGAUCCUCUCUGAUUCACUUGCACAAAUCCCAAAUGAAUCCUAUGGCAAUGGAAAUAUUGCUUGGACCUCUAGAGAUCUGCACAUCACAACAAUGUGCCCAGCACUAGAUCAGAUUUUGUCUCACCAAAUCCUAAAAUCCUCCAUGGCUGAGAUCCCAACAAUUUCUGGAUGAUCUGUUCCAGGACUGCACUAACCUCCUAAUGAAGUGUCUUCACUUUUUUCCCCCCUAAUAUAAAAUCUAAAUCUGUUGAGCCCACCCUGCACUCCACAUUAAAUCAGAAUUAUCUUGUGCAAGACCGAAUCUCUUGAGAAGGAAAUGCAAUGCAAACUUUGGCCACAAUAACCCAGAACUCGUCAUGUGUUGAAUGCUUAUUUAAGAAGUGCUAGACAGGAAUUUUACAAUGUCCUUGGCUUCAGGUGUUUAAAUCUCUCUCUAACAUCCUAAGAGGAUGGUUUGGCCCCCAGACUAAAGAAUUUUCUUGCCAUUCAAAGCAUUUCCAAGCUGUUAUUUGGCUGAGCUGGUUAUGUGAGGUCAGAAAUAGGCAAAUAAAGAGCAGAUGCUGAAUACGAAAAGUGUCAAAGAGUGUUCUACUGACAGAACUUCAGGCUGAUUUCAGAUUGAUUCUGUUUAGGUGAGGUUUUUUCUUUUUUUUUAGGGUUUUUUUUUGGUUUGUUGUAUUGGUUUUUUAUUUCUCUUUUUUUUUAAAUAUUUGCUGAUCAAAUUUAAAUGCAAAAUGCAAAUGAUCUCUGCUUUUUUGUUAUCUACACGUGGAGUCAAGGAGUCAAGCCACUGUAGUCAUAGCUAAAGUGAAAAGUUGAAUCUCUGAUGUGAUUUGCAGCUUGAAACUCACUAUGAAGGUGCUGCAGCCCUUCUAAAAUUGAUUGUGUGUCUGGGAGAGAAAGUAGCACCUCAUUUGUCCUUGUUCAUUUCAAUAAACUCAGAAUUAGUCCCAUGAUUUGGGCUCAAAUUUCAAUGUGUUCACCUAUCAUGCUUAUGGCAGGAGUGGUUUGAGGGUAUACUGGAACAGAUCUGAUCAGAUUACUCUGAAAUUCCCAUUAUAACCCUGUGAAACAGCUACAUAUUAAUUUUGCUUUGCUUCCCAACCCCUUGGCUCAUUGUGCAGGCAGCAGAGAGCAGGGGGACUUCUCACUCAGUCAAGCUGAAUGAAUGAAUCAGAAAAAGACAGAGUUUUUCUUAGGAUUCAGGAGGUGUUUUUUUUGUGUUUUGUGACCUUGGCAGACCCAAGGGUGCUUGCAUAGGGCUGUGUUUGGAUGAGGAACUUCUCAGGUAGAUCCAAAGUAAAUGGUAGUUUUACAAAUCAUAUUUAAUUAUAGAAUCAUGGAAUGGUUUGGGUUGGAAAGGAUCUAAAAGUUCAUCUCAUUCCAUCCCCACUGUCAUGGCCAGGGAGUUCAUUCACUGGAUUCAGGUGUCUCACUGAGAGCAACAUGGCAUUUCACCCUAAGGAUUGUUCUGCUGAGACAUAAACAAGACAAUGGGAUUUUUUAAAAAAUUUAUUUUCUUUCCUCAUGUAAAGAAAGAUUUCCUGCACUCUUUGCAGAUACAGCAUCAGUGAAUUUACUCCCCUGGCCAGACACAGCUAUCUCCAGUUUGCCCUGCCUAAAUUCUCUUUAAAAUGUCAAAUGGAUCUCGUAUUCCUUGGUCUCAGUCUAUUAAGAAAUAUUGCACCAGAACAACAAAGAGCCAGAAGAAGUCACAAAUUAAGGUCACAGGUGAAAAGUGAAGAUCUAGAGCUGUAAUCUUCAGGCUCCCUGCCUUUAAUAAAGACUCAUGAUUAGCUCAGCUAUCUGGACACUUGGCAGAAUUACCUCCACAGCCCAAGGAAAAUCUAUGAGUUGCAGAAAAACACCCAAACCAAGCCACAAAGUGGAAAAUAUCUGUUUAGUUUUAGAACAAUAGAAGUAGCAUUAUCUUAGGCAGCCACAAAAGGAAAAUUCAGUGUUCUGAUACACUAAUUAAUUUGCUUUCUUAAAGAGUUUUUUUUUUUUAAUUUAAGGCAAUUAAGUGGUUAUUAAAGUGACCUGAUUAAUAUAUUUAUUAAGCAUUUUUAUAUGUUUUAUGUUACCUUCUUUUGUGAGUAUUUCUUACUGGACAAUGAUGAACAACAAACUGUGUUUAAAUAAAGUGACUAAAAGAGCCACCAACCAUACUCCUAGAACCACAGAACCAUUUAGAUUGGAAAUGACCUUAAAGAUCAAGUCCAGACUUUAACCCAGCAUCACCAGGUUUUCACCACUAAACCAUGUACUCAAGUGCCACAUCCAUACAUUUUGUGAACACAUCUAGGAAUGGUGACUCCAUUGUCACCUGUUGUCACUUGCUCUGUUCAAAUGGUUACAAAGUUUUUUAUUAUUUUUUUUUCACUAAUAUCUCAUCUAAAGCUCCACUGGUGAAACUUGAGGCCUUUUUUUCUUUUCCUAUCACUGGUUUUCUGGGAGAAGAGACUGAUCCCCCAGCUGGCUCCCACUGAGGUUUUUCCAUUAUGUUUCUAAAGACUGAUCUUUAAAGAGAAACAAAGUUAAAUUUCAAGCACUAAUACAACAUAAAACAUCUGGUCUUUGAAGAACACAAGAUUUCAAAAAUAGCAUUGGUUCUUGGUGCAUGUAGACUCAAGAAAGAGUGAAGAAACAGCUAUUAAUAACCAUUCAUCCUUUUCUUUCCCCUGAACACUUAAAAUGUCAUCAGUAUUGUGAAAUGUUUCUCCCCAGCAUCACCAAAAUGUGGAAUUCUGACCAAUCAACCAGCAAUUACUUUUUCAUGUAAAACAUUUCCUGUCUUCAUUGUAUGUCCUGCAUGGAACCCAACAUAAAUUAGGAGCAUUAGGCUGGAGAAAUUGCCACUGUCAUCAAAUCCAGAACCAAUUAUUGCAGGCAACUGCCUCAUAGGGCCUUGCUGGCAACGCUUCAUUUUCCGUCUCAAGGCAGUCAGAUCAUUUCCUUCCAUGUCCCUGAUCAGAAACUAUCCAGGAAUUAACAUGGACUAAAUGUCACACGAGCUGAGGACACUGAAAUCCCUCCUGACACACAAUUCUGACACAAGUCCUUGCUUCUGGAUUUGCUAUUCCUUGACUUCUUCUUUGCAUGAGCAGAUUCCUGAUCUUCUGAAGAUCCCAGGGAAUAUGUGACCAGAUGUUUCAAAUCCUCUUUUCAAGCACUUCAUGAACAAACAAGUGCCAAACAAACACCAGGUUCAGUGUGUCAACCUCUGGGACAUGCUGAAUAGUGCAACAGAAAACUUUAAAGGAAACUAAGUCCAUACUUUCAUGAAGAAUCCACUUUUGGUCACUGCUCCAUAUAGUGAGAGAGUGGGACUUAAAAGAAAGACAUGAAUUUGUAUUUCUCACAGGCACCGCAAGGAAGUCCGUUUGUCUACAUUCCUUUUUGUGGGAUUUAAGUGGUUAAGGAGGUACCAAAUGUUCUAAUUAAGAGGUUUCUCAGUUCAGACUAAAGGAAUUUGAACUGUCCAUGGUGCCAGUGCUUCGUUCAAUACUCUUGUGGUGACCUGUUAUAUAGAGACAUGAAAGCCCAGAAUGGUUUGGGUGGGAAGAGACCUUAAAGAUCAUUUCAUCACCUUCCUCUUGACCAGGUUACUCAGAGCCCCAUGUGGUGGUUUAUUACAGCAAUGACAUCUCACAUCUGGGCAUGUGGAUGUGUCUGAAUGCCAGGAGGUAUGGAAAACAUAAAUAAAAUGAAAUUUCAUAUUGAAGCAACUGCAUUUUGAAUUUGGUUAAUUGCUUUUAGAAAUAAAAAAUACAUGAAUUUUCAGGUUUGCUUUCUCAGUGCUCACACAGUGGUUGAGAGUAUAAUUGCAAAAAUGCAAUUUUCUCAAGGAAAAAUUACACUUCAAUGGCAGUUUUUAGUAAAGGAAUGUUGAGGGAUUUGUUUCAGUUCUACUUGUUUUAUUGUAGGAGGAGAAAAUUUAAGUAAUAGUUUUGGGAUUAUGUGUCAAGCACACACAAAAGUAUUUCUCAAUCCUCAUGAUAUCACAUUUUAUUAUGUGAAAAAAUUCCCAGCUUGCUCUGGGGAUGCAGCGGGAUCAGGUAAAGAGGAAGAUGGCUCUGGGGUUCACUGCAGCCUUUGAGGGAGGUAAAGUUUAUUAGGAAAGGAACCAUGGGAAAUCUGACAGUGGCUUUUUCUCUAAGAAAAAUUGUGUUUUACUGCUUGGGGUUUUUGUCUGACAGGUUCAGUUGUGGUCAAGACAAGGAGCUGUACUCAACGAUCCCUCUGGGUCCCUUGGAACUGAGAUUAUUCUGUGGUUCUGUGAUUCCAGGAACUUAGGAUAUUCUAUGACUUUGUGGUAAGUAACUUCUCCCACGACGCCUAUUCCUUGUAUGUUUCUCAUUUUAUUCCUCG